CAGAUGGCGUUGUGUUGCUGGAGUCUCUGAGUACCGGUGUAGAGAUGGACAGGUGUGUUCGACCCCACAGAGGCUACACACCUGUACUAUUUUCAGAUUGAAGGAGAAGAAGGACGAACACCCAUCACGAAGACAGGCAGUGAAAUACGAAUUAGAGUUUGCGCACUAACCUGGCAACACUUUGGCGAAGCAGCGUUACCAGCACUGAGGAAAUUCUUGGU